AGGGGUGUAGCUCAGUUGGUUAGAGCGUUGGUCUCCAAAACCAAAGGCCGCGGGUUCGAAUCCCUCCACCCCUGCCA
rnacentral:tRNA from 1 species